rnacentral:lncRNA from 1 species
CUUAUGGCCAAAGAUGGAACUGUACUUGGGUGGUAUCUGAGCACCCUGUUGGCUUUGACAUUCUAGGGCCCUUCCCUUGGCACCACUCUCUUAUUUAAAAGGAAUAGGAUGUGGACUUAGGAGGGUUAUUUCUCUGCAAACUAUCCUCUCUUUCUUAUGACAGCUAUUUCUGAAUGUGCACAUUUGAGGCUAAGCAAAUCCCUUCCUGGGAGGCGUGAAAGACCUUUAUUUCUCUGCAGAGGAGUAUUAUGGAAAGUCAGUUGAUGCUGAGGAGGUGGUAGAGACCUAGCUAACUCAUCUGCAGCGGCUUUGAGCAAGGCUUUUAGAAUCAUAAGGUGGCUGGGGUCCUGUGUCCUACACCACAGGCCAGCUAGUUCAUUUCAGGAGACUUUCUUUUCUAUCUAUUAUUACUAUCUUCUUCUAGACUGUAGUUCACUACCAGAGAUUAUCCACUUAGCUGCACUCAGUUUGCACCUGGCCUGUAUCACCACUUAGCUCUCACUCC